CGGGCAUCUGACUGAUUCUCCACUCACCACGGAGCCCCCGCCGGCUUGUCUUGAUUCACUUACCUGUUCUCUUCUCACUGAAGCUGGAGAAGAAUGCCUCCCCUGUGGAGAGGGCAGUACAAGCAUGAUGGUACAUGGUGACAUUCUGCAAGCGUUUCUCUAGGUAUAUGAUCAAGUGCAUUCCCACCUGCCCUUACCACAGGCACCCGUGUUCUUCAUACCUCCCACCUCACCUGAGCAAAGUCUUCCAGGAUGCUGCUGAAAACUAGUUUGUCUGUGUUCCUUACCUUGGACUUGGAGAGCAUCAAUGGUGACCAGAGGAAGAGGUUGGUCAUGCGACUGCAGAGUUAUGGAUAUGAUGAGGGUUUGAGCUGGCUACAUCAGGGCGGCCUCACUCCAAUUUCCAGAGACCCCCGCCACCUGAGAGCCCAGUGCUCCACCAGGAGAUUCCGAGCCUUGGAGGAAGGUUUCUUUGAACUCAGAAGAACCCCUUCCUUUUAAUGACCUUGAGAAGAAGCAGUAACAGAGCCAUUAAAUACCAGAGGAGAAAAGGAAGCACUGGAACUAUGUGUUCACAGUAACCAAGAUGUGGAGCGUGGAUGGAAGUUCAUCCACAGAUGAAUGAAUGAAGAGAACAUGACAGGGGCUGGAGAGAUGGCUCAGUGCUGGCUGCUCUUCAGAGGACCGGAGUGCAGCUUAGAACCUCCUGAACUCCAGCUUCAGGGGAUCCAAUGCCCUCUCUGGCCUCCCCAGGCACAUG